ACGGGAGAAGCAUUGUUAAGGAACUCGGCAAAAUGACUCCGUAACUUCGGGAGAAGGAGUGCCAGAGAGAUCUGGCCGCAGAGAAUUGGCCCAAGCAACUGUUUAGCAAAAACACAGGUCUAUGCAAAACCGAAAGGUGAAGUAUAUGGGCUGACGCCUGCCCGGUGCUGGAAGGUUAAGAGGAGAGGUUAGUCGCAAGAUGAAGCUUUGAAUUUAAGCCCCAGUAAACGGCGGCCGUAACUAUAACGGUCCUAAGGUAGCGAAAUUCCUUGUCGGGUAAGUUCCGACCCGCACGAAAGGCGUAAUGAUUUGAGCACUGUCUCGACAAUGCAUCCG
rnacentral:ncRNA from 1 species